UCCAAAUUCAACUUAUUGAUUCAACUCUGAUUCUCAAUUUCACGAAAAAUAGGUUUGCUUGGCAUGUUUGUUACCGCUCUUCCUUGUUCCAAUUGUCAACCUUUUGCCCCUUCUCUUCAAUUUCAUCAUGGCAAAGGUUUACAGAUUAUUUGGGAAGGAGUAU